rnacentral:ncRNA from 1 species
CCCUGACAGUGACAUCAAGUUACUGACAAUAGCCAAGACAGGAGAUCCAUAUG